rnacentral:tRNA from 1 species
CUUGGUGGAAGCCAAAAAAGAGGCUUAUCACUGUUAAUGAUAGAACUGAAUUUCCCUUCCCAUCAA